AGAGUUUGAUCAUGGCUCAGGACGAACGCUGGCGGCGUGCUUAACACAUGCAAGUCGAACGGAAAGCGCUCUUCGGAGUGACUCGAGUGGCGAACGGGUGAGUAACACGUGGGUGAUCUGCCCUGCACUUUGGGAUAAGCCUGGGAAACUGGGUCUAAUACCGGAUAGGACUACGGCCUGCAUGGGUUGUGGUGGAAAGCUUUUGCGGUGUGGGAUGGGCCCGCGGCCUAUCAGCUUGUUGGUGGGGUGAUGGCCUACCAAGGCGACGACGGGUAGCCGGCCUGAGAGGGUGUCCGGCCACACUGGGACUGAGAUACGGCCCAGACUCCUACGGGAGGCAGCAGUGGGGAAUAUUGCACAAUGGGCGCAAGCCUGAUGCAGCGACGCCGCGUGAGGGAUGACGGCCUUCGGGUUGUAAACCUCUUUCAGCAGGGACGAAGCGCAAGUGACGGUACCUGUAGAAGAAGCACCGGCCAACUACGUGCCAGCAGCCGCGGUAAUACGUAGGGUGCGAGCGUUGUCCGGAAUUACUGGGCGUAAAGAGCUCGUAGGUGGUUUGUCGCGUUGUCCGUGAAAACUCACAGCUUAACUGUGGGCGUGCGGGCGAUACGGGCAGACUGGAGUACUGCAGGGGAGACUGGAAUUCCUGGUGUAGCGGUGGAAUGCGCAGAUAUCAGGAGGAACACCGGUGGCGAAGGCGGGUCUCUGGGCAGUAACUGACGCUGAGGAGCGAAAGCGUGGGGAGCGAACAGGAUUAGAUACCCUGGUAGUCCACGCCGUAAACGGUGUGUACUAGGUGUGGGUUUCCUUCCUUGGGAUCCGUGCCGUAGCUAACGCAUUAAGUACCCCGCCUGGGGAGUACGGCCGCAAGGCUAAAACUCAAAGGAAUUGACGGGGGCCCGCACAAGCGGCGGAGCAUGUGGAUUAAUUCGAUGCAACGCGAAGAACCUUACCUGGGUUUGACAUGCACAGG
rnacentral:rRNA from 1 species